rnacentral:rRNA from 1 species
UGGGGAAUAUUGGACAAUGGGGGGAACCCUGAUCCAGCCAUGCCGCGUGUGUGAAGAAGGCCUUAUGGUUGUAAAGCACUUUAAGCGAGGAGGAGGGUACUGGUAUUAAUACUACCAGCUACUGGACGUUACUCGCAGAAUAAGCACCGGCUAACUCUGUGCCAGAAGCCGCGGUAAUACAGAGGGUGCGAGCGUUAAUCGGAUUUACUGGGCGUAAAGCGUGCGUAGGCGGCUAAUUGAGUCGGAUGUGAAAUCCCCGAGCUUAACUUGGGAAUUGCAUUCGAUACUGGUUAGCUAGAGUGUGGGAGAGGAUGGUAGAAUUCCAGGUGUAGCGGUGAAAUGCGUAGAGAUCUGGAGGAAUACCGAUGGCGAAGGCAGCCAUCUGGCCUAACACUGACGCUGAGGUACGAAAGCAUGGGGAGCAAACAGG